UCGAUGGUAGGAUAGAGGCCUACUAUGGUGGUGACGGGUGACGGAGAAUUAGGGUUCGAUUCCGGAGAGGGAGCCUGAGAAACGGCUACCACAUCCAGGGAAGGCAGCAGGCGCGCAAAUUACCCAAUCCCGACACGGGGAGGUAGUGACAAUAAAUAACAAUACGGGGCUCUUUCGGGUCUCGUAAUUGGAAUGAGUACAAUUUAAAUCCCUUAACGAGGAACAAUUGGAGGGCAAGUCUGGUGCCAGCAGCCGCGGUAAUUCCAGCUCCAAUAGCGUAUAUUAAAGUUGUUGCAGUUAAAAAGCUCGUAGUUGAAUUUCGGGAUUGACACAUCGGUCGUGCCUUAAGGGGUAUGAACUGGUGUAGUCAAUUUCUCACCUUCUGGAGAACCGCGAUGCCCUUAAUUGGGUGUCGCGGGGAACCAGGACCUUUACUUUGAAAAAAUUAGAGUGUUUAAAGCAGGCAUUUUGCUUGAAUACAUUAGCAUGGAAUAAUAAAAUAGGACGGCAUGAUUCUAUUUUGUUGGUUUCUAGGAUCACCGUAAUGAUUAAUAGGGAUAGUUGGGGGCAUUAGUAUUCAAUUGUCAGAGGUGAAAUUCUUGGAUUUAUUGAAGACUAACUACUGCGAAAGCAUUUGCCAAGGAUGUUUUCAUUAAUCAAGAACGAAAGUUAGGGGAUCGAAGACGAUCAGAUACCGUCGUAGUCUUAACCAUAAACUAUGCCGACUAGGAAUCAGACGAUGUUAAUUUUUUAAUGACUCGUUUGGCACCUUACGGGAAACCAAAGUGUUUGGGUUC
rnacentral:rRNA from 1 species